rnacentral:rRNA from 1 species
UACGUAGGGUGCGAGCGUUAAUCGGAAUUACUGGGCGUAAAGCGUGCGCAGGCGGUUUUGUAAGCCAGAUGUGAAAUCCCCGGGCUUAACCUGGGAAUGGCAUUUGGGACUGCAAGGCUUGAGUGCGGCAGAGGAGACUGGAAUUCCUGGUGUAGCAGUGAAAUGCGUAGAUAUCAGGAGGAACACCGAUGGCGAAGGCAGGUCUCUGGCUGGACACUGACGCUCAUGCACGAAAGCGUGGGGAGCGAA